rnacentral:rRNA from 1 species
GACGAACGCUGGCGGCGUGCUUAACACAUGCAAGUCGACCGGAGUGGCGAACGGGUGAGUAACACGUGGGUGACCUGCCCUGCACUUCGGGAUAAGCCUGGGAAACUGGGGCUAAUAACGGAUAGUGUGGGAUGGGCCCGCGGCCUAUCAGCUUGUUGGGGGGGUAAUGGCCUACCAAGGCGGCGCCGGGUAGCCGGCCUGAGAGGGUGGACGGCCACAUGGUGACUGAGAGACGGCCCAGUGUCCUACGGUACUCAGCAGUGUGGAAUAGUGCUCCAUGGGCGGAAGCCGAAUGCAGCGACGCCGCGUGGGUGAUGCCGGCCUUCGUGUUGUAAACUCCUUUCACCAUCUACGCGGUAGAUGGAGAAGAAGCACCGGCUAACUACGUGCCAGCAGCCGCGGUAAUUC